GCUGAUUGGCGGGAUCCCU
rnacentral:sRNA from 1 species